ensembl:lncRNA
AUGUGCACGAGGUGAUCCUGGUGAAAUUUUGGCAGCAUAUGUGCCUCUGUGAUAGAAGUUUGAAGCUGUCUUGUGAUGCAGGGCUCUUGUGAUUCAGAUAGAGCCAGUUACAGAUGGUUCUCAACAGCCCAAUGCAGGGCACAACCAAUCCUCUGAGCAGGGCUGAGAGACAAAAGAAAAGUACUGAAGUGGAACAUCACUUGGCUCUGGAAAGUGCGGACUAAUUCUACUGCUAAUGAGAUGACUGUACAAAUGUUUCAGAAUCCACUAUCCAAAAAAAGUACAGUAGGAAGCAAUACUAUAAGCCACAUUGUUGCAUUUCUCCACCAUAAAGGAACAUAAAUAUGCCCCCAAAUGAAGAAUAAGAUUCUGGAAAAAAAGAUCCACCCAGAGUCCGCAUUUUUAAAGAAAAAAGUGUGCAUCAUCUUCCAGCCCCUGUGAGUCGAAGAAAAAGGUACAUGAGCAAAAAAGAGCCAUGCAAGAUAUCUGCUGCUGCCUACAGGUUAUCUAAAUGAACGCUUCCACAAAGUAUGACUGUCACUGUCCCCCAUGUCUAAAUCUUUUAAAACAAAUAAGAUCUAAGUUACAUAAGUAAAUGAUCAGAUGUCACUAAGUAAUGCUAUAUUUUUUUAGAUUGACUUUUUGUCUUUGAGAGUAAAACAUAGAAGCAUUAUAUGCACCUCCAGAUGUUGCAGUGCUGGAGAGAGGAUAUUCAUUUAUUUAUCAAACAUAAUCUGUGAGAAUAUGUGUUUUAAGUUCUCAAAUGUAUAACAUUUUCUGAAUCCAUGUUUUUCAUAGCAUUCACUGUAAUAAUUAGCUAAGAAAUAUUUGAAAAGUAAUUUUUUUCACCUCUCAAUAAACAGAAGAUAUUCACAGAGUGUUUUCUUCAAGAUGGACUGACAAAAAUAAGAAUUUUUCAUGUUCUAAUUAUUUAGUUGUUGAUGAAUGGCAUAUUCAUGGAAAUUUCCUUACUGACUGUGGUAUCAGAUCUACAGAUCUUGAUCCAGGAACUCAUUCAAAUACUUCUACUAAUCUAGUUUUCCAAUGAGAAAUACCUUUACUGGUUAUAUUUAAACUUUGGGAAAAGAAGGUUACAAUCAAGGAAGGGAAUAACUAUCAUGUUAUCAUGUUUCUAAUUUAACAGAAAUAAUGUUUGGUUGUGUAGGGAGAACUGUACUAGAGAUGCUAGACUAGCUGCUAAAGAGUGUAUGGGAAAAUGAGGGAAAUCAUAGUUGUUGCUAUCACAAAUUGUCAGUUGUGUGGUGAAUAAACACUAGUUUCAUAUUCAUGUGCGAUGGACUAUGCAGCAGACACUGUCCCUGUGGUAACAAAUGCUAGAAAAAGGUUUUCCAUGUAAGUCCAUUGAAUCACAGUUUCUUGAUUCCAGUCUUCUAACAUAUAUAACACGUGCCACAUCAUUGAGUGCAUCAUUCACUUCUUUCUUUCCAUCCUUCAGAUGUUCAGUACUAUGUACUGAAUGAUAGUUCUCCUGAUGGCCAGCCAUAAUGGGUUUAUAUUACAGUACAUAUUUUAUGUAUUAAAAUCUCUCCUGGAUUAAAAAUGACUAGAAAUUAAACACACAGGAGUAAUCCAGAUGGAAAUUGGAACACAUUUUUGUCAGUACUUUUGAAGAUAUUGAAGAGAAGUUGUGGAGAAAAAGCCUUUAUUUUCACUUCCAUCAUUUCUGCAUCCUAUGUAUAUCCUAUAUAUAUUGGAACCAACUAUCUACAGCUUCUUUGUAUGAGGUCAAUGCUAUUCCUGUAAACAUUAGAUGUUCUGUUGUUAUUUGCAAUUAAUCCAACAACAACUGCUGAAAUUUAGUCACAACUCUCCCGAGCUGAAACAAGUACCUUCCAUAAAGAUGAAAAGGAUUAGACCUAUAUUUUAUAACACAUCCACAUUUUAUGAGGAUGCAGUUGGUGUUAAGCAAUCAUCUAUUUGGUGUUGAAUUAAUUACAAUCUUAAUUAAAAGCUGCUUAAUAUAUAUGAGCCACUUGUAUUUAGCAAUUCUUAUUUUAUUGCAAAAAAAUUCCUGUCAAGAGCUGUAGUAGCAAUCACAUCAACUGACUUUGGACAUUUCUGUUUGUUUUGUUGGUUUUCUUUUGUUGUUGUUUAUUGAGAUUCAAGAGGGACUUUAUCAUGACCCAGAGUCAGAAUCAAACAUGGGAUUUCAGGAAGGUCGGUUGGCUGAGAAAUACCCAGUAAUCAUUUAUAAACCUAUUAGUGUAACAUGAAUGAAAAUGAUGUGGAGUUUGUUCAGAUCUAAUGCAUACAUUUGUAUUAGCACUGAAUGAAUCUACUUUGAAUACAACCUGUCCACUGUAUACACAAGAUAUUCUGGGUUGUUAAAUUACCUCCCAUGUUAAUAGUUUUAUAAUUAAAGUAAAUAUUGUUC